rnacentral:rRNA from 1 species
UACGUAGGGCGCAAGCGUUAUCCGGAAUUAUUGGGCGUAAAGAGCUCGUAGGCGGUUUGUCGCGUCUGCCGUGAAAGUCCGGGGCUCAACUCCGGAUCUGCGGUGGGUACGGGCAGACUAGAGUGAUGUAGGGGAGACUGGAAUUCCUGGUGUAGCGGUGAAAUGCGCAGAUAUCAGGAGGAACACCGGUGGCGAAGGCGGGUCUCUGGGCAACAACUGAUGCUGAGGAGCGAAAGCGUGGGGAGCGAACAGG